UUGGAGGCUCUGGUAUGCUCUGAUGGUAGGAGGAGAUGGUACAGGGAGGCCACAAAGACUGAUGCUCUUUGGUUCUCCAGUUGUCUUUCAGGAGGUGUAGCCUGGUUGUGGCCUGGGGAGUUUGGCUGUUCUGUGUGGUGUGCCUCCACGGUGUGGUCUCCAGUGAGCUGCUCAGCAGGUAAGGCGGUCCAGAGAUGAUUUACCCCAGAACAAGGUGAAGAGAUGAGAGGACAGGAAGAAGCUCCUCAAGGCCACAGAGCAGCAGAACUGAAACAAGAACCAAACGAAUCCACGUAAAUGUCUCAGCCUCACAGGGUGCGGGUGGAGAGGAGGUGCCAUUUCUGUCAGAAUGACCCGGUGCUCCAAUCGCUCCCAUGUGCCUCCUUUCACUCCCACCACCCGCACUUUGCUUAAGCACCCUGCCCUGAAGCAAGAGCUGAGAUGUCAGUUUUUGGGGAAAGUGAGAUGCAGAGUUGCCUGACAAAUGGGUGGGUCCCCCCAACCCCGCCUAGUUUAUGAGCCCAGGGUGGCUCCUCCCUUCUAACACCCUCCCUCUCUUUAUGACCCUGCGCAAUCUUUGAUGUCUUCUUCUUGUGAAGGGUGGUGAGGGAGAAAGAAGACAACCUCAGCCAAAGAGGCCCUGCCCACGAUAGUUCUCGGGUGAGGGAAGGGGCUCCAGGGAGUAGGGCAGGGAUUUUGCACAAAGAGCGGUAAGUUGGACAAGCUGACACACUGACCAUCCCUCCAGAUCUGUAUCUACUUGGGAAACAUCGGCACUACAUUUGGUCUCUUUCAUGGCAAUAGAAAGAACAUGCUUAGGCUUUGAGCAAGCCAGGCCUGGGUUCAAAUCCUAGAACUUCAACAUUCUAGCUUUUUGACCUUGGGCAAAUUGCUUAACCCCUUGAGCUUCAGUUUCCUCAACUAAAUUAAGUAAUACACUAUACAUUUCAUAAGAUGUCAUGAAAAACUAAGUAAAACAUGCUUACAUAAAGUGCCAACAUCCAUCAAGUGUCUUGCAUACAAACUUGUCCCUCUAAUUAAAAGAUACAUUUCUUGACAGCAGGGAUGUCAAUGGCUUGCUGCCCUCCACACCCCUCCACUAUUUCCAACACCACAGACCUCUUUGCCUCUCUGUUUUAUGUAGAGAGGCAUUUUUUACUGAAGCAUGUUCUGCUUUCCUUACAAAUGCACAAAUCCCAGGAUUUGUGCCAAUCUUUUCUGUCUUCUGCAGGCCCCCAUCUCAAAAGCCACAAAAAGAAAAGGUGGCCAGAGAGCUUCUCCUACCCUGGAGAAUCCUGUGUAGACCCGGGCAGGGCGAAGCUCUCUGGGCUGUUGACUGUGAGGCCCCUCCCCACCGGUAGAUUUCCAAGCCUCUUCAGUUUUGCAUUCAGCCACAGCAGAAUCCGAAUGAAUACUGAGUGCUAAAGGAAGAUUUUUAGGUUGAAUGAAAAGGAUAUUGAAUAGAAACUUGGACUUAUAAGAGUUUCAGAAAUGGUAAACUCCUCCAGGGCAGGACCUGACUCUUCAGAGGAAUUUUUUAAUCCCCCUCCCCAGAAGUGCCCACGUCAAGGCCAUAGUAGAGAAGGAGCUCAAGAGCAAUCCCUAAGCAACCACGCUUGGAAGCAUCCUGCAACAGAGGGAUUUGUUCCAGACUCAGAUUUAAUCCACUAUUACCUUUUCGUAAGACAAGUGUUGUCUGAAGGAGUCUGUGUGUAAUUUUGAGACAAAAGGAUUGCAGAACUCAGCUCCCAGGUUGUCUCAUAUCUGAUUCUUCGAAAGAGGAAAAGAAGCGAACUCUUCUGCACAAUAGCUGAGCAGAUAGGAGAGAAAAAGCUUGAAGAUUCACAGUGGAGCAAGGCUAAUUGGAGCCUUCCUCAGAGCAGCUCAACUAUCCCAGUUUUACCUAUCCCAUUCCUUGCCAUUCCCACUUGUAAUUCUGUCUUGGCAAGAACACCAUACUGAAGGUUCUUAAAGCAGUUUGUAGACUUUAAUUAGUUCUGUGGAAAGUCAGUCAAAGCUCAGCCUUCAUUCUGCCAACAGAGACAACAGUGGUGGGUGUGGAAGGAAGGCAAGAAGAAGAUGGACACCCAGAGCAGUUGUGCAACUUACUGAAGGCCAUGUGGAUAGGAGGAACUGGGUUUAAAACCCCUGAGUCUUGAUAAAAGUGUCUUAGCCUUCUAGAUUCCUAAACAGGUAGUGGGCUCAUCCUACUAACCUACUUUGCUAGGGUGUUGUUGAUGAAUGCUUAUAAACCCUGUCCUAGAUGAUAGGUUUGGAAGAUUGUUAAAGAAAGCAUGUCAUUAAGUCCCUACUCACCCCCUCCUUGACAAAUAGCCCUGGAGGGAAAUGAAUAUUAGCCAGAAUCGUAGGGCCUCCACUUCAAUGGAAUGAACUGAGAUUCAACAACAAGAGAAAUGUUCCAACAGUGAGGGAAAUCAACAAUGUGCUGGGGGUGAAGGGUAGGGGUUGGGAAGGCCUAAACAGGUGACCAUUGCCAGACAGCCCAGACAAGAUCAUCACAGAAUAGCUGAUUCCCAUUAGACACUGUGGGUGAUCAUUAUCUUAAAAUUCAGGACACUAUUUUUGUAGUAGUUUCCCUUCCUCUCUUUGUAAGAGCAGAAGACCUCUCUGGGGCCUAUCACAAGACAAGCGGGUGUUUGCAAAUGAGGGACGUACUUUGAGACUGAAUUGCUCUGUGCUUCUCUAAAAGACAUGGUUAAGAGUUUGGGCGCUGAUGUUAGAGACUGAGAUUAAAAUCCUUCCUUGCCACUUCCAUCAGUAUAAAUUUGGAUAAGUUUCUUAACUUCUCUAAGCCUUGAUUUUCUCACCUAUAAAAUGGGCCUAAUAAUAGUGCCUAACUUAGAGGUUUGUUGUAAAGGUUAAAUGCAAUUAUUCAGGUAAAGCCUUAAUGGAGCCUGAUAUGUAGUAAGCACUCAAUCCAUUUUAUCUACUGACUCUUUUCUCUGUGUGGGUUACCCACUUUGGAGAUUGUCCCCAGUAAUUUCUUUGGUCAAGUCUUGAUCUCCCUGGCCCCUUGGCUGUCUUCUCCCACCAUGAUCAGUGAGAAGUUGAGGAGCACUAAUACCAAAUUCUUUUUCAUGUUAGUUAGGAGAAAGCAGAAUUACGAAGGUCAACCUGCUGGUGUAAAAAAAUAUUACAUAGAUUAGCCCUGCUCUACAUAUUAGAUAUGUUCUCAAAAUGCCUAAGUGGCCUUUUUUUUUUUUUUUAAUUUAAGUUCUAGGGUACAUGUGCACAACGUGCAGGUUUGUUACAUGUGUAUACAUGUGCCAUGUUGGUGUGUGGCACCCAUUAACUUGUCAUUUACAUUAGGUAUAUCUCCUAAUGCUAUCCCUCCCACCCCCACCCCCUGGCAGGCCCUGGUGUGUGAUGUUCCCCACCCUGUGUCCAUGUGUUCUCGUUGUUCAAUUCCCACCUAUGAGUGAGAACACACGUGUUUGGGUUUUUGUCCUUGCGAUACUUUGCCAAGAAUGAUGGUUUCCAGCUUCAUCCAUGUCCCUACAAAGGACAUGAACUCAUCAUUUUUAUGGCUGCAUAGUAUUCCAUGGUGUAUAUGUGCCACAUUUUCUUAAUCCAGUCUAUCAUUGAUGGACAUUUGGGUUGGUUCCAAGUCUUUGCUAUUAUGAAUAGUGCCACAAUAAACGUAUGUGUACCUGUGUCUUUA